UCAAGGUUCUAUCAGCGAUAAAUAAGGGAGGCUAAGGUAUCGAGGAACCAUCUAAUGUUAUUUACACUACCUACUUUCUAAUCUGCCUCCUCUACUUACCUUCCUCUUUCUCUUCCUGUAAUCUUAUUGCAUGGAAGAAAUUUUUUGAUGAAGACAAUUGUCUAUUUUUCUUAAAAUCAUUUUUUUAGCUAGUGGUAUGUCUCGAACACUUUCCUAAUAGUUUAUUGAGAUAAAGUCAUAACAUUUUUUUUUCUUUCUUCACUACCCUCACUCAUUGCCCCAUUGGGAUUGACUGCAAAUUGCAAUUUUCUGUAGAAAGAAUCAGUAAUCCUUUCUACACAGUGGAUUUGGUGAUUUCAAAACUUUAAGAACAUUUAAAAUAUUCAAGUUCUUUCCUCUAAAAACUGGUGACUUUCUGCUGCUGAGCUCGUGAAAGUUUUUGAGAAGAAAGUUGAAAGGUUGAAAAUGGUGCUGUGUUUAUUUGAAUAUCUAAAGGGUAAACUCCAAGCUACUUAUCUGAAAACAAAUAUUCUCUGAAACCUGCAGAGUAAAGAAGUAUAACUUGACAUUUCUUCUGCAAGAAAAAAACAAGAAGAUGGUGACUUUCAAGAUCUCAGUCAAUGACUAAAGCUCUGUGACCACAGUGAGCACAUUACUGCAGUAACCAGGGCAGUAAUGUCAAGACAAAGGUCGGGGUUGGCUUUAAGAAAGAAGCCUGAGAACCGGAACUACAUAGAGGCCAGAAUAUCAGUGUCUACAUGCUAAAGGCAAUUUGCAGGAACAAGUACCAGGAGCAGAUCAACAAAACAAAUAAGAUCAACAAAACAAAUAAGGAAGGUGGUUUUAUGAACCCAGAAGGUCAGUAGUUAUGAGUUGUGGCUCCACUUUAUUCAACCUUAUCUGCUUGGAAGUUUUUCUCCCACACCGUUAAACCCCUCACUGAACCAAACUUUUGUACAGACUGCAGCCAAGAAGGGCUGUAUUAUGGCUUUCUUGGACCUCUUCAUCCACAAAAAUAUUACAAAUUGUUUUUCAUGA